rnacentral:lncRNA from 1 species
UCUUUCAUGAUACUACUGUACAUUAGGGUAGGAGAUCUAAAAUUGUUUUGCUGAUUUUUCAGAGCUCUGCCAGCACUUAAGCUGACAUCAAGAAGGGCUGACUGAGAAGACAGAAAGAACUUGGAGUCGUUUUUGUCACUCUUGGAUCAGCCUUCAGGUAUGGACUGAAGCUGGUGAUUUGCCUUCCAAUGAAAAGAGAGAAUAGAAAUGGGGAAGUCAUAACUGCACAGGAGAGAAAUUGGCCUGACUCUUUAUGGACUAAUGAGAGUUACCAUCUUCAUCAUAAGUCACGUCAAGUGACUUAUCAUGGAGGAGUAUUCCCUGUGCCUUUAUAUGUUUCUUGUCAAAAAUUGCAAAGUUCUAAAUUAAUCAUGGAAAAAUUCUUAGAAAAAACCAAAUUGAAGUAUAUUCUACAAAACAUCUGCCCACUGCUCUUCAUGGAUCAAGGCCAUAACCAUAACAACAGAAAUAUGAAUAAAGUCUUCAAGAUCAGAGCAGAUUAACAAGAUAUAAUUAUUGACAACACUUGGUUUGGAGCUACAUAUAAUAAAAAAGAAACUUCUUGGGCAAAGAAAAGGAAUGGGGACUGUUGGGAGCGUGAAGGUCCUUGUGCCCAUGGAUCUCCAAGGAGAUCAGAAUAUUACACACCUGGUUGUCCUUCCAAAAGGAAGGACAUAAAAAAUCUAUUUGGUUCCCAGAAAGCUGGGAACUGGAGAUCUGCAUUACCUGUUUUGUCAGGCCAUAUCAAGCUCCUACAAGCACUUACAUUUCCUGUAUAGCUAGGGAUACUCCAAGUGCCCACAAUAAGGAUCAAAGGUGAAUGAUUACUCAAAUAUAUAGACAAAGAUAACCUCUAUGCUCUCUGUAUGAUGAGACCAGGCCAGAUUCUUCCUUAGACCCUUAAGCAUGUACAGGUAGGUUAUCUCCAGAACCAUCUUCUCGAAGGAAAAGGUAUGUUCUGAGCUGCAUUUCAAUGUAACUAUGCUUCCUGUGUUCCUAUGAUUGUAUUACAGCAGGAAACCUUUUUCCAGAUUAUAUUCUGUUCAAAUAUACUGGCAACAAACCACCUAACAUUAGACUCCUCAAUGUUUGAUGCAGGUUGACAAAGUGAAUCUGAAUCAAGUUUUUAUUUUCACCUCUACACAUCCCUGUCUGCCUUGACAUCUGCAGAGACCCCUACAUAAAAACCACAUUAACCAAUUAUAAAACUCAAAUUACUCCAUAAUUUAAUUUUGAAAAUUUUGCAAAUUCAAAAUUCUAUAAAUAAAAUUAGACCUAAAAAAGUUCUAGUAGUAAUUCAAUCAUUAAAAAGAAUGUGUUAUAUGACACAAAUAUGACAUAUAGUGAUACAAUCUAUUAUUUUUGUAUCUUAAUUGCAUAUAUCUUUCCAAUAAAAACAUGGAGGUUCAGAUCAUAAUGUGAUACAUUUUGAUUUAAUGUCUCAAGUAACCAUUUUUUUCUUGACUAUAACUCUCAAGUUUUUGUUUUGUUUUAGAGACAAGAUUUCUCUAUAUAACUUUGACUAUCCUGGAACUCUCCAGGUAGGACACACUAAUCUCAAACUGACAGAGAUCAGGAUGCCUUUCCCUCCCAAUUGAACGAAUUAAAAGUGUGUGCCACUAUACCUAGCUAAACUACCUACCUGAAGUGGUUGGCAGAUAGUAAGUACUGGCAGUGUCC